ensembl:lncRNA
GAAAGAUGGUUACCAAACAAACAAAAACACUCCCUUUGUUCCACAGAAGAAAGAAAACAAUACAUAUACAUGUUUGGACAUACAGUACAUGAAGGCCUAUCUAUCCAUCUUUUCUCCGUCCCGUCUGUAGUCUACUCUCUUGAUCUAGCAGACACACAUACGCACACAGGUCUCAUUCAGCAGCAGUAAGGUGAGCUGACCCGUUUUAUCGAGCGUGCCAGGCCAGCGAGUCACCUUAGCUCUCUCGCUCUGUUUCUCUCUUUCUCAAUCCCUCGUUCCCUUUCUCUCACUCCCUCCUGCUCGGAGCACAAUAGAUCCCCCACAAUGCAUCGGUUCGGAAGGCCACUUUCACCUCCUCAUGUUACCAUCCAUUUAAAGAGAGAGAUACAAAUGGAUAAGUCCUGAAAAUGGAAAAACCCUGAAUAUAGAAACGAGUGAUGAAUAGAUGAACCGAAAUACCCAGAGAGAGCGAAAGAGAAGACAGUUGUCGAACACGAGAGGGGGAGAAAGACCGAGAGGAAGAAGUAGAGAAAGGAGCUUCUUCUUCGUCAGUCAUCAGCCCUGCUGGAGUUUGUCUCCUCGGCGGCUGGAUGGAGACGGACUCUAUACAGACGUGUACCGCUGGGAGCCUAGAGAAGCUUUUAGCAGCUCACUCGCACAAACCUGACUGACAUAACAGCAAAAAAUGACUGGCAGAUGCUCUAAACUAUCACCACACACACACACACACACACAUACUUUGAAAAGCUCUGCAGAGUGGAUAAGGCCCCACAAUGGCGCUCUUUAUCCCCUCUGGUAUGCUUCUGAGGGGAAUGAUGUCCAUUUUCACUUCUUCAAAACAGCAUCAUCAAUCAUCGCCACAAACACACACACACACACACUGGAAUGUCCCAUGGGGUUUCAUCUGAAGUUAAUAGCUGUGUUCAUCGCACAGAUAUUACAGGUUAGCACACAAGACACGAAACACAUGAGAUAAUAGCCUCAUUGUGUCCUACCGCUAUUGAUGAAACCAGCUCCUUCACUAUAAUUUGAGAAAACAUGCAAAGAAACACAAAGGUUUCAUAGAUGGCAGAGAUGAGACCCCAAACGUGGACUGUAAUCAGCAUCGAUCAGCUGUGUUUUAUGAAGAGACCAUAUGUCAAC